AGAGUUUGAUCCUGGCUCAGAGUGAACGCUGGCGGCGUGCCUAAUACAUGCAAGUCGAACGAUGAAGCUUCUAGCUUGCUAGAAGUGGAUUAGUGGCGCACGGGUGAGUAACGCAUAGGUCAUGUGCCUCUUAGUUUGGGAUAGCCAUUGGAAACGAUGAUUAAUACCAGAUACUCCCUACGGGGGAAAGAUUUAUCGCUAAGAGAUCAGCCUAUGUCCUAUCAGCUUGUUGGUAAGGUAAUGGCUUACCAAGGCUAUGACGGGUAUCCGGCCUGAGAGGGUGAACGGACACACUGGAACUGAGACACGGUCCAGACUCCUACGGGAGGCAGCAGUAGGGAAUAUUGCUCAAUGGGGGAAACCCUGAAGCAGCAACGCCGCGUGGAGGAUGAAGGUUUUAGGAUUGUAAACUCCUUUUGUUAGAGAAGAUAAUGACGGUAUCUAACGAAUAAGCACCGGCUAACUCCGUGCCAGCAGCCGCGGUAAUACGGAGGGUGCAAGCGUUACUCGGAAUCACUGGGCGUAAAGAGCGCGUAGGCGGGAUAGUCAGUCAGGUGUGAAAUCCUAUGGCUUAACCAUAGAACUGCAUUUGAAACUACUAUUCUAGAGUGUGGGAGAGGUAGGUGGAAUUCUUGGUGUAGGGGUAAAAUCCGUAGAGAUCAAGAGGAAUACUCAUUGCGAAGGCGACCUGCUGGAACAUUACUGACGCUGAUUGUGCGAAAGCGUGGGGAGCAAACAGGAUUAGAUACCCUGGUAGUCCACGCCCUAAACGAUGGAUGCUAGUUGUUGGAGGGCUUAGUCUCUCCAGUAAUGCAGCUAACGCAUUAAGCAUCCCGCCUGGGGAGUACGGUCGCAAGAUUAAAACUCAAAGGAAUAGACGGGGACCCGCACAAGCGGUGGAGCAUGUGGUUUAAUUCGAAGAUACACGAAGAACCUUACCUAGGCUUGACAUUGAGAGAAUCCGCUAGAAAUAGUGGAGUGUCUAGCUUGCUAGACCUUGAAAACAGGUGCUGCACGGCUGUCGUCAGCUCGUGUCGUGAGAUGUUGGGUUAAGUCCCGCAACGAGCGCAACCCCCUUUCUUAGUUGCUAACAGGUCAUGCUGAGAACUCUAAGGAUACUGCCUCCGUAAGGAGGAGGAAGGUGGGGACGACGUCAAGUCAUCAUGGCCCUUACGCCUAGGGCUACACACGUGCUACAAUGGGGUGCACAAAGAGAAGCAAUACUGCGAAGUGGAGCCAAUCUUCAAAACGCCUCUCAGUUCGGAUUGUAGGCUGCAACUCGCCUGCAUGAAGCUGGAAUCGCUAGUAAUCGCAAAUCAGCCAUGUUGCGGUGAAUACGUUCCCGGGUCUUGUACUCACCGCCCGUCACACCAUGGGAGUUGUGUUUGCCUUAAGUCAGGAUGCUAAAUUAGCUACUGCCCACGGCACACACAGCGACUGGGGUGAAGUCGUAACAAGGUAACCGUAGGUGAACCUGCGGUUGGAUCACCU
rnacentral:rRNA from 1 species